rnacentral:hammerhead_ribozyme from 1 species
AUCCAGCUGACGAGUCUCAAAUAGGACGAAACGCGCGUCGUGUAU